rnacentral:misc_RNA from 1 species
AUUUCCUCAAAUGAUUUGUAUAAAAAGCAAACAGCAAAGAGUUUUCACUUUCCUUUGGGUGUUAUUGCAUAUUAUUUGCUGGAUAUUCACAAGCCACAAUUUGCAGACAAAAACACAGCAUAAGCUUUUCGAUUAGGAGCAACUUCCUCAAUCAUGGUAAAGUUGGGUUGGCAAGACCCAUGGACUCUGCAACUUCUCUAGCAGAAAUAUUAUCCGCUUGUUCCUGAAGGCGAUGCAAUAAAUACAUCAAGAAGAGGUGUACAAACACCAAAUAGAAAAGAAGGAUGAGCCGAGC